UUAACCACUGACUCAGUGACUCAGAGACUCAGUAACUCGUAAACCUGACUCUCUACAGUGAGUGACUCAAACAAACUCCAGUCAGUAAAAGGAGUUGAACCUCCCGUCUGCUGUGACGAGCUAAAAGACGACCAGCUUUUGAUGAUGUUGUGAUAUUCUGCCUUUUUCUUUCCUGUUCAAUUAAAACACAAAAAGCCAUUUCAUGGUCAGUCUUGAUUUCUUUCUGUGUCACUGUUUGUCUCCACACCUGAGCAGGUGUUCUGCUCAG